rnacentral:rRNA from 1 species
AGCGAACGCUGGCGGCAGGCUUAACACAUGCAAGUCGAGCGGGCACUUCGGUGUCAGCGGCAGACGGGUGAGUAACACGUGGGAACGUACCCUUCGGUUCGGAAUAACGCUGGGAAACUAGCGCUAAUACCGGAUACGCCCUUUUGGGGAAAGGUUUACUGCCGAAGGAUCGGCCCGCGUCUGAUUAGCUAGUUGGUGGGGUAAUGGCCUACCAAGGCGACGAUCAGUAGCUGGUCUGAGAGGAUGAUCAGCCACACUGGGACUGAGACACGGCCCAGACUCCUACGGGAGGCAGCAGUGGGGAAUAUUGGACAAUGGGCGCAAGCCUGAUCCAGCCAUGCCGCGUGAGUGAUGAAGGCCUGAGGGUUGUAAAGCUCUUUUGUCCGGGACGAUAAUGACGGUACCGGAAGAAUAAGCCCCGGCUAACUUCG